UACGAAGGGGGCUAGCGUUGUUCGGAAUCACUGGGCUUAAAGGGCGCGUAGGCGGGCUGUCAAGUCAGGGGUGAAAUCUUUCGGCUUAACCGGAAAACUGCCUUUGAUACUGACAGUCUUGAGGGAGGUAGGGGCAUGUGGAACUUCCGGUGGAGCGGUGAAAUGCGUUGAUAUCGGAAGGAACGCCGGUGGCGAAAGCGACGUGCUGGACCUCUUCUGACGCUGAGGCGCGAAAGCCAGGGGAGCGAACGG
rnacentral:rRNA from 1 species